CGGGUGCACUGAUCCGGCCGGGCCUUUCCCUCUGUGGAACCCCAUGGCCUUCACUGGCUGUGCGGGGGAAACAGGACUUUUACUGUGAAAAAAUUAGAGUGCUCCAGGCAGGCCUAUGCUCGAAUACAUUAGCAUGGAAUAAUAGAAUAGGACGCGUGGUUCUAUUUUGUUGGUUUCUAGGACCGCCGUAAUGAUUAAUAGGGACAGUCGGGGGCAUCAGUAUUCAAUUGUCAGAGGUGAAAUUCUUGGAUCUAUUGAAGACUAACUACUGCGAAAGCAUUUGCCAAGGAUGUUUUCAUUGAUAAGGAACGAAAGUUAGGGGAUCGAAGACGAUCAGAUACCGUCGUAGUCUUAACUAUAAACUAUGCCGACUAGGGAUCGGGGCGAUGUUAUUUCUUGACGCGUUCGGCACCUUUCGAGAAAUCAAAGUGCUUGGGGCUCCAGGGGGAGUAUGGUCGCAAGGCUGAAACUUAAAAGAAAUUGACGGAAGGGCACCACCCAGGGGGGUGGAACCUUGCGGGCUUUAAUUUGACUCAACCACGGGGGAAACUCACCCAGGUCCAGACACCAAUGAGGAUUGACAGAUUGAGAGCUCUUUCUUGAUUUUGUGGGUGGUGGUGCAUGGCCGUUCUUAGUUGGUGGAGUGAUUUGUCUGCUUAAUUGCGAUAACGAACGAGACCUUAACCUGCUAAAUAGCCCGUACUGCUCUGGCAGUUCGCCGGCUUCUUAGAGGGACUAUCGG
rnacentral:rRNA from 1 species